GCCACUGAAGCGUUCAAUCGCGUCGGUUUUUAUUUUUCAGGUUUAAUUUGAAGCGUAAUGCGAAUAAUGGCGCAGUCUAUGUGGUUAUUAUGUUGACUUCUAAUGAAAUGGAUAAUGGUACUUUACCAUAGUUUACCUUUUUAAUGUAGGUGAAGUGUGUUGAGCAAUGUUGUUUUAAACUUAUUUGCGCAAUUUGGUGAGAAAUUGCAAAUAAUCUAUCCGUGUGUGAACGUAUAAUUAGCAAGUAACAUCACGUCGUGGCAUCCUGACAAACAAUGCAUAAAUUACACUGGAGGCUCAGACACGAUUUUGAAGAGCUUAAAGAUUAUGUGAAGAAAAUAAUAACCACAAAACUCUUAAGCUUAGCGAAAAUUCGGGAAAUGAAAUUUAAUGUAAGUACGUAUAUACAUAAUACAAAACCAACAAAACAAAUGCGAGCGAAAACGAUGCGGAAAACCCUAACUCGGAUUUCUCAACUUUAUUACUGCAACAAGUGAUACCACACGCAAAUAUAGUUUCCCCCAAAAAUACCAGCAGGUAAUAACCUCCGGUGAAACAGAGCAGAAAAAAACAUCCACGACAAGGCUAUCUAUACACUCUGGAAUUUAUGGCUAAACGCUGGAAACCGUUACUGGAUAAAACCGCUGAAAAGGUCGACAAUUAUUUAUUCACAAAAUCGCCAGGUUGUCAACUGAUUUAAAACAACAUUCUUGGCACACGCAGAUUUUGAUCAGAAAGAAGGGAUUUCACCGAAUUUUGGUUAAAAUGAAAAAUAUUGAAGCGGCUUUUUCGAAGAAAUUUAGCGAACCUUGACAUAAAUUAAAGCUU